rnacentral:rRNA from 1 species
ACGUCUACAUUAGAUACCCCCGGUAGUCCCAGCCGUAAACUAUGCUCGCUAGGUGUCAGGCAUGGCGCGACCGUGUCUGGUGCCGCAGGGAAGCCGUGAAGCGAGCCACCUGGGAAGUACGGCCGCAAGGCUGAAACUUAAAGGAAUUGGCGGGGGAGCACAACAACGGGUGGAGCCUGCGGUUUAAUUGGACUCAACGCCGGACAACUCACCGGGAACGACAGCAAUAUGUAGGCCAGGCUGAAGACCUUGCCUGAAUCGCUG